rnacentral:rRNA from 1 species
UCGAGAAUCUUUCACAAUGGGGGCAACCCUGAUGGAGCGACGCCGCGUGGAGGAUAAGGUCUUCGGAUUGUAAACUCCUGUCAUGCGAGAGCAAGGCAUAGCAAUAUGUUUGAUAGUAUCGCAAGAGGAAGAGACGGCUAACUCUGUGCCAGCAGCCGCGGUAAUACAGAGGUCUCAAGCGUUGUUCGGAAUCACUGGGCGUAAAGGGUGCGUAGGCGGCGGAGUAAGUCGGGUGUGAAAUUUGAAGGCUCAACCUUCAACUAGCACCUGAUACUGCUUCGCUAGAGAUCUGGAGAGGGACUUGGAAUUCUCGGUGUAGCAGUGAAAUGCGUAGAUUUCGAGAAGAACGCUCGCAGCGAAAGCGAAGUCCUGGACAGCAUCUGACGCUGAGGCACGAAGGCUAGGGGAGCAAACGGGAUUAGAUACCCCCGUAGUCC